rnacentral:rRNA from 1 species
AUUGAACGCUGGCGGCAGGCCUAACACGUGCAAGUCGAGCGGCAGCGGAAAGUAGCUUGCUACUUUGCCGGCGAGCGGCGGACGGGUGAGUAAUGUCUGGGAAACUGCCUGAUGGAGGGGGAUAACUACUGGAAACGGUAGCUAAUACCGCAUAACGUCGCAAGACCAAAGAGGGGGACCUUCGGGCCUCUUGCCAUCAGAUGUGCCCAGAUGGGAUUAGCUAGUAGGUGGGGUAACGGCUCACCUAGGCGACGAUCCCUAGCUGGUCUGAGAGGAUGACCAGCCACACUGGAACUGAGACACGGUCCAGACUCCUACGGGAGGCAGCAGUGGGGAAUAUUGCACAAUGGGCGCAAGCCUGAUGCAGCCAUGCCGCGUGUAUGAAGAAGGCCUUCGGGUUGUAAAGUACUUUCAGCGGGGAGGAAGGUGUUGAGGUUAAUAACCUCAGCAAUUGACGUUACCCGCAGAAGAAGCACCGGCUAACUCCGUGCCAGCAGCCGCAGUAAUAC